CCGCACGCGCGCUACACUGAUGAAGGCAGCGAGUAUUCGCCUUGGCCGGAAGGUCCGGGUAAUCUUCUGAAACUUCAUCGUGCUGGGGAUAGUGCAUUGCAAUUAUUGCACUUCAACGAGGAAUUCCUAGUAAGCGUGAGUCAUCAGCUCGCGUUGAUUACGU
rnacentral:rRNA from 1 species